CUAAAGAAGAAUCUGAUAAUUCUUUAAAGAAUGUUUUCUAUAAGUAUUGCGAAAUCACUAAUUUUAAAAAACCUAUGACGCCCAAAAACCAGCAUAAAGUAGCUCGCUAUAAUUGCUAUAUAACAAAAGAAAAUCAAGUGAUAAAGAACAAAACGAAAUUCAUAGUGGCCGAUCUAGAAACGAUUCCCUAUAAAUUAGGAGAAAACGACGAAUACAAUACACACGUCCCCUACGCAGGGGGGUAUAUGACGAUUGAUACGGAUAAGGGAUUAGAUGAAAAUAAAAUUAUAAUGUUCUAUGCUGAUGACUACAAAAUACUAUACGAAGAUUUUAAGUCAAUGAGUACAAAGAUGCUCACAGUUAUGAUGAACAGGUUGAUCAAAGAAGCCAGAUCAGCAAGAACAUGUUUGGUAGUAUACUUUCAUAAUUUAGGUCAGUUCGAUGGUCUUUUUAUACUAAGGCAUUUAACAAUGGAACACAGGGGUUUGGUAGUAGAACCCUUGGUUCGAAACCGUAUUAUUUACAAGAUAAGUGUCUAUACAGUAUCCCCCAAGGGCAGGCGAAAGAACAUAUUGUCGUUCCAAGACUCAUACCACCUUUUUAAAGGUAAAUUAGAAGAACUAGCCCGUUGUUUUUGUCCUAAACUAAACGGUAAGGGUGUUAUCAACCACGACAGUGUUUCGCUCGACAAUCUGGGGAUAUAUAAGGACGAUUACUUAUCUUACCUAAAACAAGAUAUUAUGCUACUAGGCGCUGUUAUGCUCGAAGCAAAAGCUAUCUAUUAUGAUUUGUAUCAGGUCGACAUACUUAAUCGAUUAACAAUAUCUUCACUGGCCCUCUCCAUCUUUAGGCGUAAAUACAUAAACGAUAGUGAAAAGAAUAGGAUCUACAUCCUAAACGACAAUGAAGAACAAUUCAUUAGGAGUGGAUACUACGGCGGUCAUACAGAUGUAUAUCUACCUACGGGG
rnacentral:misc_RNA from 1 species